CCGCGUUGGCAGAUGAAUGCUAUUGAUUUAAGCUCAAUCCAUGAAGAUUAAUCUUCACGUGGCA
rnacentral:tRNA from 1 species